rnacentral:rRNA from 1 species
ACACGUAUCCAACCUGCCGUCUACUCUUGGCCAGCCUUCUGAAAGGAAGAUUAAUCCAGGAUGGCAUCAUGAGUUCACAUGUCCGCAUGAUUAAAGGUAUUUUCCGGUAGACGAUGGGGAUGCGUUCCAUUAGAUAGUAGGCGGGGUAACGGCCCACCUAGUCAACGAUGGAUAGGGGUUCUGAGAGGAAGGUCCCCCACAUUGGAACUGAGACACGGUCCAA